UUAGUUGGUGGAGUGAUUUGUCUGGUUAAUUCCGGUAACGAACGAGACCCCCGCCUGCUAAAUAGAUGUGGGAAUGCGCUUGCAUUGCCGCAACUUCUUAGAGGGACUUUUGGUGACUAACCAAAGGAAGCUGGGGGCAAUAACAGGUCUGUGAUGCCCUUAGAUGUUAUGGGCCGCACGCGCGCUACACUGACGCAUUCAUCGAGUUCUUCCUGCAUCGAGAGGUGUGGGCAAUCUGUUGAACCUGCGUCGUGAUGGGGAUAGAUUAUUGCAAUUAUUAAUCUUCAACGAGGAAUGCCUAGUAAGCGUGAGUCAUCAGCUCGCGUUGAUUACGUCCCUGCCCUUUGUACACACCGCCCGUCGCUCCUACCGAUUGGAUGGUCCGGUGAGGUUUUCGGACUGGCGCAACGUCGCGGUUUCCGCGUUGAUGCGCCGGGAAGUCACCCAAACCUUAUCAUCUAGAGGAAGGAGAAGUCGUAACAAGGUUUCCGUAGGUGAACCUGCGGAAGGAUCAUU
rnacentral:rRNA from 1 species